rnacentral:rRNA from 1 species
GACGAACGCUGGCGGCGUGCCUAAUACAUGCAAGUAGAACGCACAGUUUAUACCGUAGCUUGCUACACCAUAGACUGUGAGUUGCGAACGGGUGAGUAACGCGUAGGUAACCUGCCUGGUAGCGGGGGAUAACUAUUGGAAACGAUAGCUAAUACCGCAUAAUAUUGAUUAUUGCAUGAUAAUUGAUUGAACGAUGCUAUUGCAUCACUACCAGAUGGACCUGCGUUGUAUUAGCUAGUAGGUGAGGUAACGGCUCACCUAGGCGACGAUACAUAGCCGACCUGAGAGGGUGAUCGGCCACACUGGGACUGAGACACGGCCCAGACUCCUACGGGAGGCAGCAGUAGGGAAUCUUCGGCAAUGGACGAAAGUCUGACCGAGCAACGCCGCGUGAGUGAAGAAGGUUUUCGGAUCGUAAAGCUCGGUUGUAAGAGAAGAACGGGUGUGAGAGUGGAAAGUUCACACUGUGACGGUAUCUUACCAGAAAGGGACGGCUAACUACGUG